rnacentral:rRNA from 1 species
CAAGUCGAACGAGAAAGUGGAGCAAUCCAUGAGUAAAGUGGCGACCGGGUGAGUAACACGUGAUUAACCUACCUCCGAGUGGGGAAUAACUCCGGGAAACCGGGGCUAAUACCGCAUAACAUCGCAAGAUCAAAGCAGCAAUGCGCUUGGAGAGGGGGUCGCGGCUGAUUAGCUAGUUGGUAGGGUAACGGCCUACCAAGGCGAAGAUCGGUAUCCGGCCUGAGAGGGCGCACGGACACACUGGAACUGAAACACGGUCCAGACUCCUACGGGAGGCAGCAGUGGGGAAUUUUGCGCAAUGGGGGAAACCCUGACGCAGCAACGCCGCGUGGAGGAUGAAGCCCCUUGGGGCGUAAACUCCUUUCGACCAAGACGAUAAUGACGGUACUGGUGGAAGAAGCACCGGCUAACUCUGUGCCAGCAGCCGCGGUAAUACAGAGGGUGCAAGCGUUGUUCGGAAUUAUUGGGCGUAAAGGGCGCGUAGGCGGUGCCACAAGUCACCUGUGAAAUCUCCGGGCUUAACUCGGAGCCUGCAGGCGAAACUGUGGUGCUGGAGUGUGGGAGAGGUGCGUGGAAUUCCCGGUGUAGCGGUGUAAUGCGUAGAUAUCGGGAGGAACACCUGUGGCGAAAGCGGCGCACUGGACCAUAACUGACGCUGAUGCGCGAAAGCUAGGGGAGCAAACAGGAUUAGAUACCCUGGUAGUCCUAGCCCUAAACGAUGAUUGCUUGGUGUAGCAGGUACCCAAUCCUGCUGUGCCGUAGCUAACGCGAUAAGCAAUCCGCCUGGGGAGUACGGUCGCAAGGCUGAAACUCAAAGGAAUUGACGGGGGCCCGCACAAGCGGUGGAGCAUGUGGUUCAAUUCGACGCAACGCGAAGAACCUUACCUGGGCUCGAAGCGCAGUGGACCGGGGUGGAAAC